AUCCAGCUGAAAAGUUCCAAACAGGACGAAACGUGCAUCGUGGAU
rnacentral:hammerhead_ribozyme from 1 species